UCCCUGGCAGUCCAGUGGUUAGGACUCAUGGCUUUCACUGCCAAGGCCCAGGUUCAAUCCCUGGUCAGAGAA
rnacentral:tRNA from 1 species